rnacentral:rRNA from 1 species
AUGAACGCUGGCGGCGUGCCUAAUACAUGCAAGUCGAGCGAACAGAUGAGGAGCUUGCUCCUCUGACGUUAGCGGCGGACGGGUGAGCAACACGUGGAUAACCUACCUAUAAGACUGGGAUAACUUCGGGAAACCGGAGCUAAUACCGGAUAAUAUAUUGAACCGCAUGGUUCAAUAGUGAAAGACGGUUUUGCUGUCACUUAUAGAUGGAUCCGCGCCGCAUUAGCUAGUUGGUAAGGUAACGGCUUACCAAGGCAACGAUGCGUAGCCGACCUGAGAGGGUGAUCGGCCACACUGGAACUGAGACACGGUCCAGACUCCUACGGGAGGCAGCAGUAGGGAAUCUUCCGCAAUGGGCGAAAGCCUGACGGAGCAACGCCGCGUGAGUGAUGAAGGUCUUCGGAUCGUAAAACUCUGUUAUUAGGGAAGAACAAAUGUGUAAGUAACUAUGCACGUCUUGACGGUACCUAAUCAGAAAGCCACGGCUAACUACGUG